UGGAAUACAGCUGGCAGGUAGUGGGCGGACAGUGAAAACGUGCCCUGAUAUUAUUCUGAGAAAAAAAAAGAGCUUUAUUGCUUCUUGUCAGACUAUACUAUGUUUUAGGAAGAGUUGGGUUCCCCCAAAGAGAAGGUGCAGGGUGCUGGGAGCAGGAUCCUCAGUUUGUAAGAACGCACUCACUGCUCCAAGGCAGCCAACAAAAAAUUUUUAAAAAGGGUGAUUGAAGGUUCAACUUUUGACAUGUAAAAUCCAGUCAUAGCUUGGGUUUCCCGGAAGCAGUCCCUGAGACAGAGAUUUUAGUGCAACAGUUUAUUUGGGAGGCGAUCCUGGGAAACACCAGAAGGGAAGUGGAAAAUUGAAAUGUCGAAGGAAGCCAAUAAAAUAUGCGUUAUUGAGCAGAUGGCCCCUGUGACCAACUAGGCUCAGUAUCUCUGGGGAACCCCCAGAGACAGUGUAGAGUAAAUUCCAGAAUUAUGCCAUCCAAGGGAAAAGGGAGCUGAAUCAUUCAUCUCUCAGCUGUUGCAAGCUAUUGGUGGAGGGAUUUUCCCAAGAGGCAUUACCUCCCAGGCUUGUCCUCACUUUGCCUGUGUGGCCUCCAGUGGUCAGACAGAACCCAAAGGAAAAGAGCCAGGGUGCGGAUUGGCAGAAGCUAUUCUGGCCCAUGUGCAGAGCAUCAAGAAUGUGUGCUGCAAAAGAUCCCUAUCACGUCCUCGACUUUCCUGCAAGAGGCAGAUUAUUACAGUCCCCUGGGAGCCACUCAGGGGGAGUCUCAGGGCACAGAGGUUAUUUGAUUCAAUU
rnacentral:lncRNA from 1 species